rnacentral:tRNA from 1 species
GGUGGCUCAAUAGUAGAGCACUUGCCUUGCAUGCAUGAGGCUCUGGGUUUGAUACCACAGCACCA